rnacentral:rRNA from 1 species
AACGAACGCUGGCGGCAUGCCUAACACAUGCAAGUCGAACGAUGCUUUCGGGCAUAGUGGCGCACGGGUGCGUAACGCGUAGGAAUCUGCCCUUGGGUUCGGAAUAACAGUGAGAAAUUGCUGCUAAUACCGGAUGAUGUCUUCGGACCAAAGAUUUAUCGCCCAGGGAUGAGCCCGCGUAGGAUUAGCUAGUUGGUGGGGUAAUGGCCUACCAAGGCGACGAUCCUUAGCUGGUCUGAGAGGAUGAUCAGCCACACUGGGACUGAGACACGGCCCAGACUCCUACGGGAGGCAGCAGUGGGGAAUAUUGGACAAUGGGCGCAAGCCUGAUCCAGCAAUGCCGCGUGAGUGAUGAAGGCCUUAGGGUUGUAAAGCUCUUUUACCCGGGAUGAUAAUGACAGUACCGGGAGAAUAAGCUCCGGCUAACUCCGUG